CCAAUAGCGUAUAUUAAAGUUGUUGCAGUUAAAAAGCUCGUAGUUGAAUUUCGGGAUUAGUACGUUGGUCGUGCCUUCGGUACGUACUGGUGUUACUGAUUCCUACCUUCUGACGAACCAUCAUGUCAUUAAUUUGGUGUGGUGGGGAAUCAGGACUGUUACUUUGAAAAAAUUAGAGUGUUUAAAGCAGGCUCGCGCUUGAAUACAUUAGCAUGGAAUAAUGAAAUAGGACGUUGAUCCUAUUUUGUUGGUUUCUAGGAUUGACGUAAUGAUUAAUAGGGAUAGUUGGGGGCAUUAGUAUUCAACUGUCAGAGGUGAAAUUCUUGGAUUUAUUGAAGACUAACUACUGCGAAAGCAUUUGCCAAGGAUGUUUUCAUUAAUCAAGAACGAAAGUUAGGGGAUCGAAGACGAUCAGAUACCGUCGUAGUCUUAACCAUAAACUAUGCCGACUAGGGAUCGGAUGAUGUUAUUUUUAAUGACUCAUUCGGCGCCUUACG
rnacentral:rRNA from 1 species